UACGAAGGGGGCUAGCGUUGCUCGGAAUCACUGGGCGUAAAGCGCACGUAGGCGGCUUCUUAAGUCAGGGGUGAAGUCCUGGAGCUCAACUCCAGAACUGCCUUUGAUACUGAGAAGCUUGAGUCCGGGAGAGGUGAGUGGAACUGCGAGUGUAGAGGUGAAAUUCGUAGAUAUUAGGAAGAACACCGGUGGCGAAGGCGGCCUGCUGGGCUGUUGCUGACGCUGAGGCGCGACAGCGUGGGGAGCAAACAGG
rnacentral:rRNA from 1 species